GGUAUAAUUGUUGACAGUAUUACAGUUCAUUUAGUCUUUACAAGCAUUGUGAGGUUAUAACACUACAUGGUGUUCAGAGAGAACUUAACGCUGCUAUUUCAACAAAUUUCGACUUUUGGUAAGCACAUUUGUACCAUACAAAAUUAUCAUAAUGGUGUUGAUUAUUUAAGAUUGUACCUCACUGACAAACCUAACAAAAUAUACAAUAAAGCAAUUAAACGUACCACAAAAGACACAUCUUUGUCUUUUUAAUAGAAUGUUAUGUCCAUAUGAAUCUAAAUCAGUAUAUUUCAUUUCAGUGUGCAGUGCAGCAUAGAGAAUUUGGAAACUCAAGACCGUGACAGUCAAAAAAGCAUCAAGUGUCUAAAAUAACAGUAAAAUCUGUUUGGAACUUUUGUGUUUCGUAGAAAAAAGAAAAUACAGAGGUUUUCAGAACAACAUGAGAUGGAUUUUGUUGGACACACCAAAGACGAUUAGUCAUUGGGCAAACUUCAGAGAUGGAAGUGACUGUUUCAUACUGCUAAAAAAAAACUUGACCCACCUGAAACCACUCAGUGGUGAUCGUUUUAUGAGGAUUAAUGGCAUGUUCUCUUGUGGGCCCAUCUUUGACCUCUGUGCUCUCCUAGAGUUUAAAACACUAGCCAUGAAAUGUGGUAGAGACGUGUGACACAUUAGGCCCACCAUGCUAGACCGUAGUGGGCAACAGUGUUACAGAAACAAUACAAUACAUGAAAGCUAAAAGGAAACCUCUUGACUUUCUAGUCUUAGUUUUAAACAUGGCUUGAGUUGGGACUGAUUAUAGAAGUC
ensembl:lncRNA